AUUGAACGCUGGCGGCAGGCCUAACACAUGCAAGUCGAGCGAGCGGCGGACGGGUGAGUAAUGUAUGGGGAUCUGCCCGAUGGAGGGGGAUAACUACUGGAAACGGUGGCUAAUACCGCAUACCAUCAGAUGAACCCAGAGGGGAUUAGCUAGUAGGUGGGGUAAAGUCUCACCUAGGCGACGAUCUCUAGCUGGUCUGAGAGGAUGACCAGCCACCCUGGGACUGAGACACGGCCCAGACUCCUACGGGAGGCACCAGUGGGGAAUAUUGCACAAGGGGCGCAAGCCUUAUGCAGCCCUGCCGCGUGUAUGAAGAAGGCCUUAGGGUUGUAAAGUACUUUCAGCGGGGAGGCGUUACCCGCAGAAGAAGCACCGGCUAACUCCGUGCCAGCAGCCGCGGUAAUUC
rnacentral:rRNA from 1 species